rnacentral:tRNA from 1 species
CAACAUGUAGCUUAACUAAAGCAUCUCGCUUACACCGAGAAAAUAUCUGUGAAAUCCAGAUCAUUUUGA